UACGUAGGGUGCAAGCGUUGUCCGGAAUUACUGGGCGUAAAGCGUGCGCAGGCGGCUUUGCAAGACAGGUGUGAAAUCCCCGGGCCUAACCCCGGAACUGCCUUUAAGACUGCAUCGCUUGAAUCCAGGAGAGGUGAGUGGAAUUCCGAGUGUAGAGGUGAAAUUCGUAGAUAUUAGGAAGAACACCAGUGGCGAAAGGCGGCUCACUGGUCCGGUACUGACGCUGAGGUGCGAAAGCGUGGGGAGCAAACAGG
rnacentral:rRNA from 1 species